rnacentral:rRNA from 1 species
AGUGAACGCUGGCGGCAGGCCUAAUACAUGCAAGUCGAACGGCAGCACAGCAGAGCUUGCUCUGUGGGUGGCGAGUGGCGGACGGGUGAGGAAUACAUGGGAAUCUGCCCAGUCGUGGGGGAUAACGUAUGGAAACGUACGCUAAUACCGCAUGCGCCCUUUGGGGGAAAGCCGGGGACCUUCGGGCCUGGCGCGAUUGGAUGAGCCCAUGUUCGAUUAGCUAGUUGGCGGGGUAAAGGCCCACCAAGGCGACGAUCGAUAGCUGGUCUGAGAGGAUGAUCCGCCACACUGGGAAUGAGACACGGCCCAGCCCCCGACGGGAGGCAGAAGUGGGGAAUAUUGGAAAAGGGGGGAAAGCCUGAUCCAGCCAUGCCGCGGGAGUGAAGAAGGCCCUGGGGUUGUAAAGCUCUUUUGGCCGGAAAAAAAAGAAUUCGGUUAAUACCCGGGGUUUUGGGCGGUACCGGAAGAAUAGCACCGGCUACCUUCGU